rnacentral:lncRNA from 1 species
AAGAACUCAGUGUAUUUUCGUUCUGGCCCUCCGUCUUUAUCAUAUUUCCCUCACUCCGAAUCUCCGAUCGACGGCGGCGGAAGCGGAGCUCCGGCAAGCGGUGACCACCGGCGAUGGUGGCGAUCGAUGGCGCGAACAGGGAUCAACGUCCUUCCUAGGUGAACAGGUAAUUAAUUGCCACCAUUCUCUGAAAAAAUUGACUGGAAGUCUGGAAGUAUGAAACCGUGCAUGCUACUCCCUGAAUGCUUUAGUUCAAUCUCCAUAAAGCUCCAUCCAAACAAAAUCUUCAGAUGAUAUUUCAUUAAAAACAAUCAUGCCCAAGAACUGUGCAACAUCCAAAACUGGCUAUAAUCUUUGCUGAAUUAUGUACUUGGGAUUCAUAUUACAUUAUCAAAUCCAGUUAUUUUCUGGAGCUACACCAGAUGAAAUCACCAAGUAAAACAAUUAUAUAAGGACGGUGAGUUGUUAAUUAAUUACAGCUUUGAUACACCACUCUGUUUGUUAAUGCCUGAUAGAGUUCAGAAAGAAAAAAAAUAUACAGGAUUACACAUAUUUUUAGAUACAACAACCUUAGUAAUAUCUAAUGUGUGUUAAUUCUCUCAAAUACUAUGAACCUGAAAAAACAAGAGAGAACAUGUUUGUGAAUUGUGAUAUCCUCAUGCGAGUGACCUAAAACUCUCUACAGGGUCAGACUCCUCAAGCAUCACCGCAGCCUGAAAACAAUCAGCAGCAUCAUUGAUCCUCCCAUCAUUCCUGUGAACUUUCCCUAAAUGAAGCCAAGCC